UUCCUGAUCUAUCUAGGGCCCAGUUGGUUUUCCUGGAGAUCCUGGUCCCCCUGGGGAACCUGGUCCAGCUGGUCAGGAUGGUGGUGGUGGAGAGAAGGGUGAAGAUGGUGAUCCUGGUCAACCUGGUCCACCAGGUCCUUCAGGUGAAGCUGGCCCACCGGGUCCUCCUGGGAAAAGAGUAAGGAAUAUCUCCUCUUCUCUCGUAUA
rnacentral:lncRNA from 1 species